rnacentral:lncRNA from 10 species
AUGCGCUCAUUGUCCCCCCCGCCCGCCCCCCCAUCUCCGCCUCCCGCGCCCCUCGCAGCCCGGCACACGCGCUCGGGCUCUAGGUACUGGGCGUUUUAUUGGAGACUGAGUUGCUCUGCGUGUAGUUUAUUUUCUCCACCUUGGAGGCCCGGGAUGUGGGGGUUGGGGGGGAAAUUCAGAGGGGACAGGGCGGGAGGGGGACGAGCGUCCCGGGCCGGGCGGGGUAAGGAGCGCGGCCGGACGCUGGCUGCUCACGGCCCAAUGGCUGCUUUUCGGAGCCGAAGGCCGGGGACUGGAGAAAGGAGGAGCGGAGAAGGAGAAGGAGGAGAGCACGGCCCGGCUGGGACAGAAGCGGUGGGACCCUGGGAGGCCUCCGCUGUGCCCGUGCCGCGCUCCUCGGGGCCAGCGCGUCGCACACAAAGGGGCUGGCGAGCCAGAGCUACCGGCGGCCUCGGGGUACCGUGGGGAGCGCGCAGCGAGGGGGCGCUGUGGCGCACCCCGCCCCGCAGCCCCGGAGCCCCGCCCCCGGCCCGCCCCGGCCCCACCCCACUCCCACCGCCCCCUCCGCGGCCGUCCCCACCCCAAUCUCCGCGACCCCCACACUGCCCCUCGGCUAUUCCCCACCCCUAUCACUGUGCUUGGCCCGUAGUGGAGGUGACUUUCCUGCGCAGCGCCGCUCCUGAGGGCCGAGAACCCACAGGGAGUGCGACCCCUCUGCACGCUUCCGCACCCCUCCGAGAUUCGUGCCCCACUGGACGGUUUGCGAAGGCUGAGGCUGCCUUGGGGACUCACAAAAGGCCACAGGGCAGGACGCCCUGUAGUGCUCCUGGCGGUCCACGAAAAAUUUGGAGUCCGCCUCCCCAUUUCUCCGGUCGAGCACCAGGCAAAUACAAGCAGAGAGACCCGGAAAAAAAAAUUAUGAAGACAGCAUUAAUGAUAAAAUUAACGUGGCUGAGUGGAUUGUCAAUGCAAGUGCCUUUACUAACUCUAUGUUAAGUUUUGCUUUGUACUCCUUACAUCCUCUUUCUCUUAAGCCAUUGUUUUAAUUUCUUCUCGUUAUCAUUUUUAAAAGUAGCAAAUACAGCUUUCUUCCUACCUUCACGAUUGACAUGGUGGAGGUUGGGUUGCAAAGAGGAAGCAGUAAGAAAAAAUAAUUCUUCUAUACAUUCACAAGUCUUUCAAGGCACAAAAUAAAAGUAAGAAAUAGAAAAUGUGUCCUUUCUCCUAAUAAAGGUCUUUAUAAUGAAAUUUAAAUGAAGUUUUGUGUUUCAUAACAUCAGCUUUCCGAAUACUAUUGUAGAUACUAAAAUGUGCCUAUAUGUAUUUCCUUCCACAAUAAUAAUAAUAAUAGUAAUAAUAAACUUUUUAGAUUCAAAUUAAACAUUUCUCAGCUUAAAUUUCUAUCCUCAAUCCAACAUUUAUUAUAUCAAAACUUGAUUUUUAAAAAUAAAAGUUUCUUGGAAUUCAUCAUUUAUGUCUGUUUCAUGGCCUUGUGAACAUCAGGAAGAUGAAAUGAAAUGGUUCAAGACUGGAAUGCCAUUAUCUGCAUCUUGACACCUGGGAGAUAAUGAUGUCUCCUGCUUUGCUCUACAGACCUACCACUUUUCUCUGCUUUAAAGGAAAAUCCAAACGCAGGAGACCUGUGCAUUCCUCUACAUAAUCAAGAGUCUGGUUUCUUCCAUAGGAGUGUAUGGAGUCAAAGUGGUAUUCUGUACAUGGCAUGGUGUGAUAGGUGGGAAUAUGAGCUACUGGGGGGAAAAGUUCCUUCUUCUAGCCACUUAUACAAAGAGAGGCCAUCUCAGUGUAAUCUGAAAAAAUGCUCACUUUAUAAUGCUGUAUCCAAGGCCCAUCAUAAACUAAAUGGAUGUAUUUCUACUAAAAGUUGGGGAAAGUUGAAUAGCUAAACCUCUGAAUAAAUCUUCUUAAUUUAGAAAAUAAAAUAGUAGAGUGUCAUUGUAAUACUUUUCAGUUCCUGGACAUUCAACUCCACGUCAUGGAUAAAUAAAAUAGUUAUUUGUCCAUUCAUUCAUUCAUUUGUACAUUAACAGACAGAGUGGUGAAAAACACUAAUGCUAUGUGUUAUUUACAGGUUUAAAAUACAAAAACAAAUUAUUUAAAAUGAUUCUUGCUCUAGAUGUAGUCUUUCAGAGCAGUAUUUUCCAACCUCGUCUGUUCAGUGAAGUCAUCUUAGCAGUUUCGAAAAAUACUCAUGCCAGAGCCCCACCCACAUAGAUUCGGAUUCAGUUCUUUUGGGUAGGGCCUGAGCAUAGGAAUUUUUAAAAGCUCUCUAGUGGCUUUAAUUUUCAGAAAAGAUUGAGAAUCACUGGCCUAAAAGGAAAGAUAAGGCAGUCUAGAAGGAAAGAGUCUAAGGACAAAGGAAAUGUUAAAAGCAUGAAAUUAUAGUAGAUAGGCUGGGUUGUCAUUUUGUCUUGGUCCCCAUAAGAGAACAUUGAGGAUCACCACUCCCAGAACCCCAUCACCUACACUGCAUUUUAGAGAUGGAGUUGGCAAUUUGCCCAUUUACUCUUAGUAAACUUGCAUGACUUGUAAAGGUCCAGGUUAUAGUUUAUUCAUCUGACCUAGGAACUUUAUGUACUCUAUUUACCAGAAAAUGAGUGCCUGUAAACAAAACGUCUCUUUACUAGUGCUGAUGUAAUACUAUCAGUACCUACUUGUGAAAUAUCUACUAUGUCAUGGACCUGGUCCUAAUUUCUUUGCAUUGAAUUUCGCUGUCUUAUUUAAUUUUCCAGAUUACUUUGGAAAGCCUCAUCAGUAAUUACAGACCACACGGAGCAUUUGAUUUUGUUGCCUCAACGUUGCCCAUCUUCAUUUUAAUUAUAGUUUCACUAAUUGCUAUGUUUUCAAAUUUAUACUUGUUUUCAGUGACCACAUUUUAUGUCUACUGAUUCUUUGUAUUAUGUAGGUUAAGUUCUAAAUCUUGUAGUAACGUCUCCAAAUCACAUAUAGAGUGCGUUACUUUGGGGAAAAUAGCUUUUAGACAGUUAAUCUUAUCUGUGAUUUACAAGAGUCUUAUAAAAAUUAUUCAACAAACCAUAGUACUUCCUGGCAGGUAUUCUUUGCUAGAUUUUGGAGUUAGUUUUUCUUCAGGGGUUGAAGCCCUCUAUAGAUGCACAUGAGAAUGAAAUAUUAUAUAGAGGGGUUGAUUUUGAAAUGCCAGAUAUUAAAACUAAAAUCAAAGCCUGCCAAAUUGUAUAACUAAAUUAAUAUUUAGCCCUUCACUGGCCUUUCUGACUUAACGGGCUAGUUUUCCAGUGACAGCUGAUGUCACAAUAUUUCUAGGGAAAAGGAAGCCUCAUUCUUUUAAAAUACGAUUCAUUUUAUACCUCAUAUGGCCCACCUAGGAUUUUAAGGCCUCAUUAGACAUGUGUAUACCCAAUGAGGUUACAGGGUGAAGUAGCUAUUUGUUUCCUUAGAAUCUAGCCAAUCUUGAGUGCUACACAUUUUAGAUUCAAAAGGAUAUCAUUAAUGGUUUUGAUAGGAAAUGUUUACAUGUUCUCAAUUUACCAGUUAGUAUUUACUGUUGUCCAGGGUUACUUAACAUUUUUCUAAAGUAAUUUAAAUAUAAAAUGGAAUGAUAUGCAAUAAGUAAUAUCUUUCAAUGGAAGAACGCAGAGUACUGAAGUUUAUUUCCUGGGGAGACUAGUGAGAAAUGACUAGAUUGUAACUCUUUCAACCAGAAAAUAAAGGAUUUCAGAAUGAUGAGGAAAGUUUGAAGGAAAUGAUACAGGUCCACAGAUAGCUCACAUGGUACUAAAUGACUCAUAAAAUGCAGUAUUUUUUACAUAAUUUGGGAAGUGUGCCAUGCUUGUACAUCUCACCAUUGAGUGUGGUACAGUACUUUGAUCUUCAACAAUAUACAACAUUUGUGACAUAAUAGCUAUAAUAGGACUAUUCAGCUAUUUUACACGGCAAUAAUCCAGUCCUCUCUCAUCAGGAUAAACUGUGAGGACAAAUCCUUUCAAAAUCAGAAUUAGUUCCUUGUAGAAAAGUGAGGCUACAAUUAUCCCUUAAAUAGGAGCAGCUGCAACAUGGUAUCGGCCUGGAGCGUGGCAGUGAAGUGUUUUUCCAAUGCAAUUAAAUGGAUUUUUUAAUGCAAACUAAUAUUCUAUAAAAAGUCAAUUGGUAGGGGAGUAGGUGUGGAAUUGCUGAGAUGAAAGAAACAAUCAUUUUGCUUACCUGAGUUAAUAUUCCUGCCUUUAGUAAAUGAUAUUUUGGUGAGAAUGGAUAAUCAAGGCUCAUAUUUUCCUGUGAAGUGGGGCCCAAAAGAGAACCAGAAUAAUACAAAGGAAAGAUAAUUCUGGUUUAUUUCUACACUCUAUGUCUUAUUUUGAAAUGGAUUCACAGCCAUAUUUUGAUAUUGUUUUUCAAAAAGGUAUAAUGAGUGAACAGUAACAUUUCAAUUUAAACAGCAAAGGUAAUACUGGGGUGGAAAAAUAUAAAGAGAGCUCACAGGACCUAUAUUAGUCAGUGCCCACAUCCAGAAUGAGACAAAGAGGAAUGGGAACUUAAAUUUCUUACCGCAGAGAUGAUUAAAGGAUCAGAAAAUAAGACCUUUAAGAAAGAUUAAAGGACCUGUCUAGGGAGAACAAUACUGAGAGGCAAUGUAAGUCUUCAAAUCAUAUAUAUCCAGAGCUGUUUCACAAGCAACAGGGAAAGAAAACCUCCACUGAAGAUACAACAUGAGGAAUUGGAUUGUAAUACUAGAACAUGGAGAACUCAGCCCACACGAAAAGAAUUUUUCCUAGCGUAAGCUUAAAUGUAUUGCCAAAGGAGAGGUGUCGGCUGUCAGUAGGACUGAUUUAAAAAUCUCUGCAACCAAAGUUUGUGAAGUCACCUGCGCAUCCACUGACACCCUUCUUGAGUAUGCUUUCCUUACAUAAGAUCCAGUAGGCUGAGAGUUUGAACUUAGCCCCGAUUAUCUAAAAGACAUGUACUCAUAAAUUUUUGAUAACGUAUAGAGAAGUUUAGCCAGAUGUGAGCUAAAUAAUAUCUUACGGUUCUUUGAAGUCAACAAAUGCUUCUCUUUAUAUUAUGACUUGUUGAUAAAAAUUUUCAAGGACUUUCGUUACACACAAAAAUAACACAUCUGAUUUUGCAGGCAAAAUGUAAGAUAUGACAAAACUGAAAAGCAAAAUAACUAAUACAUUUUUAGAGUGUUCCAUUUGUAAAAGGAUAGUCUCACAUGAUAGGGAUGGUGUUUUGGAUGACCUCAGAGCCAAAGAUAAAACAAAAGGAGUCCUCCUGCCUUACUGUCAUAUAUUUUAAUGCAUAUCAUUCACUAAGUCAAAAUUCACACAUUUUUAAGACAACAAGAAAUACGCAAGACUCCCAAUCAGACUGAUGGCUGUUGCUGAAUUCUGGAUUCUCCCAUGAAAUCUUCCAGGGUUGAGCAG